CCGCGCGGAAGGCGGCGCGGGGGGCGCUGCUGCCACUUUCUCGCGCCCGCCCCUCGCCGAGAGGAGGAGGGCAGAGGGGCGCGGCUUGCUCCACACCGACGCCCACCUCCCCGCACCGUGCACCCCGAGCUGCGCUGCAGGGCGGAGGUGCGAUUACCCAAGUGGAGGUGGAGCCAUAAUUGUAGAUGCAAGGAGGAAAGAGAGAGGCUGGAAAAGACCCCUCCGAACUCAAUGCUCCCCAGAUGAGGGGCCUGGAAACGCACAGGAUAAGUCCCCGAGUGGAUCCUCGCAUUUAAAGCACGCACGCUCCGCCUUCCUCAGCCUCUCUCGCCUCCUUCCUCUCUCCUUUGCUGGGUGUGAAAAUGGACUCAGAGACUACGAGCUUUGGCAAAGAUUCCAGAGAGUCACGUGGGGAAGGGGAGCCGCGGUGAGGGGGUGGGGGAAGGCGAGAGAGCAACCUGAUCCCCUUAUUCAUCCUGCAGGAGUUGCAUUGGCUUUGUCUGAGGCGGGAUCAAAAGUGGUCACACCGAGGGCGGGUGGAAACAGGAGGUUAGGUCUCCAUUCAGACACUGUUGAGGGUACCACAGGAGAGGCUAGUUGGGGACAGGGUGCUCACACCCAAGUCCUAACUGCUACUUCUCCACCUCUCGUCAUGCCCACUGCUGCUGAACACAGAGCCUGAAGCAGAGCUGACUGGCCAUCUUCGCAUUUUGGACCCUCAGGGGUUUUCCCUGCAACCUAGCAGUCUUGGGGCACGUGUGUUCUAGGUUGAGAUUCCCACGGUUACAUUGGCUUUCGGCUUUUAAG
rnacentral:lncRNA from 1 species